rnacentral:lncRNA from 1 species
AGUGAGGGAACACUGAACUGAACAUGAGUCAUGUGCCAGUUUUCUACAAUGGAAUUGGAUUUUGGAAGAAGGUCUGGGAUUUUUUUUGGUCCUCGUGAGAGGGGAGCUGGGAGACAAAAAAUAGUGUGAUAUGAAAUUUGGCUUGUAGACCGACAUACUUAGUAAGUCAUGGGUCAUUACUGGAGGUCAAUUGCAAGUCUUUCAAGCCAUGGGUCACCCAGCACCUCAUAAUUAUGAUAUGACCAAAUUAGAUUUGCCCAAAUUCUUUUCCAAAACACAAAAAAAAAUUGGAUCCGAUUCGGACCCGAACCCGAUUCGGACCCAACCCGACCCGACCCAUGUGCACCCCUAGUUUAAAUUGGGUCUAAAUUGUAUGAAAUAGAAAAAUAUUCGGAAGGUUUUUGUUGGACUAGUAUUUGUUACAUUAAUACUUGGGUCAAGAUAGCUUAGUCUAGAUUGGAUUGGGUCAUAAAUAUAAAUAUAAAGUUUAUAUAAUCAAAAAUGUAUAAGUAAUCCAUAUGAAAUAAAAAUAUAAUUAUUUAUCAUCCAGAUAUUUAGUUGAGCCCACUUGGGAAAGGUUAGGGUUUAGUCUGGUUGGAGUUUAAGUUGGUUGAAGUACAAUCCUAACCAAAAUCCUACUUGAGAUACACUUGUAAUUUUUAAAUCCUAACCUAGUCCAAAUUUAUAAAACCUCAUAUCAACCUUAGGCAAUCAAUGGGAUGGGUGGGUGGAUCCAGGUUAAGCCCAACCCAACUAACAACCAAUGAAACCUCCAGCCUAUCCACCCUCACCUCCAUCUGCCAACGGCCCCA